UUUUGUUAUAGUUCUGGUUUCAUUUCUCUAAAUCUAUUAUCAUACUAUGAUUCUUUGAUAAACAAAUUAUUUGUGAAUACAAUUGACAGUUAAAUAUUUUGUAGUUUAGUAGGCUUUAUUUGCUAACCUUGUUGGUUUCUUUUGCAAAAAAUGGUGGAAGUAAUCUAAUGACUUUAAGAUCAACAUAACAUAAGCUUGAUAUUUGAUUUGCCUUUUAUUGCUUCUUAUUUAGUGAUGAUGGCUAAGCAUAUGAGGAUGUGUUUUCAUGUGGUUUUUACAUUUGUUAAUUGUCAAAUUGCAUUUGUGAAUGCUAUGUUUUGGAAAUUUUACAUGUGUUGCUAAAUUAUAGGGAAAUUAUUUGGUUUGUAAUGACUUCAAAUUCUUGUUAUGUUGUGGGUAAUUUUGUCCAGUAACCUAUGCUAGAGUUGGUACGCACUCCUGUUUGUUGUUUGUUGAUGUUGCUCUUUGGAACAUUCUGUGGAACACUUGGUGUGCUCUGCUGGUUAUUUUAACUUUUUAUUCAUUUGGUCAAUUCAAAUGUUACGAAGAUACCCAUUUGACCUGAAUUUACAAAUUUGAUCAAAAAUGAUGAAAUAUCUCUAAAAUUCUUGAUUUUUACUGGUAUUCUUCAUUUGUUUGAUGGUUUUCUGGGUUUUGUUCACAGACCCGAUCACAAAGGGUUUCCUCUCUUGAUUCUUCCAUCAAUUUCAGGAAUAUCAUUGGAAAUUCCUUGAUGAUUCACACGAAUUGAUUUCCAUCUCGUGAGGUGAGCCAUUGCUUGUUCUACACAUAUGGUAUAGCACACCAACCAAAACACGCACCAAUAACAAUCAAUAACAAUUAAGCUAUCGUGUUUUGAUGGUCAGCAGCAUCAGAAAGAUCAGGUUCAUGACCUUCUCAAUCCCACAUAAAAUACAGAAAAUAGUCCAGACAACCGUCAUCUUAGGCCACCAGCAACAUGUGUUCUGGUAAGCUGUCGUGUAUUGAUGGUAUACUAUCGCGUGUUGCACACAUCAAGUGUUCUGGUCAGUUGCCCCGUGUUGCUGCUGCAUUGUGUUAUUGUUGUCGUAAUAUUGUUGGAUGUUGCUGUAUGCUAGGGAUAUUGCGAGGGGCAGAAAUGGCUGUGAUGUGCCGUUGAUGGUUGGUCGAGGGAGCUGCUACCCUCUUGUUGUAAUGGCUAGCAAAUACAUAGAGAUUGGCCCAAUGGCCCAUUUUCAACUUGGUUUUAUAGUUGUUUUCGGUGGCUGUGGUUGAGUUUUGACCUAAAAUGAUCAAUUCUAACCUUAAAAGAGACCAAUUUUAACUUGAGGAUAUAACCUUUUAAAAUAUGAACUAUCAGUAUUGACGUAAAAGUGAUAAUUUUAACCUUAUAAUGAUCAAUUUCAACAUUAACAAGUCUUGUGAGAGUCCUCCAUACAGUGAGACUACACAUGCAAGAAUAGCCUAAU